UGCCUAAAAAGCCAUUUGCUCAAGCCUGCCCUGUCUGGCCAACUUCUAUGUAUUUAAAGGAUCCUCCUUGGUCUCUGAAGCGCCCCCUCCCCCCGCCCAACACCUCCUCCUGAAUGGUCAGGUGCAGACACCACCUCUGGGAGGGCAGGGAGCCUCCUGGGAGACCUCCAGUCCAUCAUCUGCCUCUGAGCUGCUGCUGUAACCUGCCUGCAGUAGUCGAGAUCGGUUGGCAAAUUCCUAAAUUAAGGUUCUGUUUACUCUGCUGUUCCAAAGGCUUGUUUUGAGCAAGAUGUUGUGCUUUAAUUAAAAAGAGGAGAGCUCAUGAGUAAGUGAAAAUAUUUUUGAAUCUUCACAGAAAUGUCUGAAUUCAGUUUCUUGUGUUUCACAGUGAGGGGGGUCAGGCUGGUCAGCACUUUUAUCUGUGACACCACUAAAAAGUCUUUCUGUGAGCUGACAGCGGGCUCCCCUGCCCGGUAGACUUGGGAAGGGGACCCUAAGUCCAAAAAAAAAAAGCGUUCCUGCUGCUUCUCUGUUGGCAGGGUGAGCCGGUAUUCAGGUGUCAUUAGGACACAUUCCUCAUUUACCUUUCCAGCCAGAGGCUUCCUAAAUGUUUCAUAAUCGCUCCACAGCUGGAAUGCAGCUGCUGCUGGGUGGAGCAAACACAACUCCUUCUGGGUCAGCAGGGUGAGGGAGGGUAGGGAAUCUUGGAAGAUUGGGAAAGUCCUUCUUUCUGAAGCCAGCGCUCAGGAAUGAGUGGGGCCUCUGGUGUGAAAACUUUCCAGAUGGGGGAAGGAAGGGGUGGUCAGCAGGUCAUGGCAAGCGGGAGACGUGAUGCUAAUGACUCCAGCUCCACGUGGCGACCAUUCAGGAAAAAGCUGCAAUGUUCUCUCUGCCACAUUAAUCAGAGAAACACAUCAAGAGCUGUUGCAUGGAGACAGCUUUCCUCCGGGUACCUGCCCUGCAUGCUAAUCACCACCCCUCCUGGCGCUGCUACCAAGCAGGACCUGCCGGUGGUUGAGCUUGUCAGUGUGCCAGGCCCUUCGCAUCUCUCUGAGGAUGGGCUGGUCCACUUCCUCCUCCUCCCCCAGCUGCCCCACCUUUCCUUGAGGGCUCUUCCACAAGAUGACCUGGAAUUGCUGCAUCUGCCUAUAGAAAAGACACCCCCUGCCUUCCCUCCCGGUGUGGAGUCCUGCAAACCUGACAAUGAGCUAUGGGAGGCCACAGGCUUUGGAGCAAGCAAGCAAAAAGAGAGGUUUUUGUGUUUUUUUUUUUAAGAUUUUUUUUAAGAUUUUAUGUCUUUAUUUGAGAGAAAGGGAGCACGAGCAGGAAGAGGCACAGAGGGAGAAGCAGACUCCCCGCUGAACAGGGAGUUCAGGCUCAAUGCGGCCCUCGAUCCCAGGACCCCGAGAUCAUGACCUGAGCCGAAGGCAGACACUUAACCGAGUGAGCCACCCAGGUGCCCCCCAAAAGAACGUUUUAAAACAUGUCUCUGUUAUUUCCCUCCUUGGCCUCCAUCAGCUCCCCACCUGGCACAUGAACUUGUUCUUCCCUUAUAUGGUUCUGAGAAAAGCACCAUAUGGCAGUUCAUCAGGCCCACGGGCUGGUUUCCAUCCAGCCCACUCUGAUUUCCUCCCAGGCUUGGGUCUGCAGAAUGACCCACCCUUCAUGAGGCCUGUGUAGGAAGAGACAGUACCAGUGAAGACAUACAGAGCUCGGACCACCGGCCAGGAGUUGUUCUUGUUACUCACGUGUGGUGAUGCUAUCAUCAUUUCUCUUUCACAGGUGAAGACGCGGACAUGUGGAUGUGUUCAGAGACAUCCUCUAGGUCACAUGGCUAGUGAUGGCAGAGCUGGGAUCUGAGCUGUACUAACCAUCAGAUUUUGCUGAUUUGCUAUCACGGAAAACCCAAUCUUAGCUACACGGUGUUGGUAGGAAGGAAGCAGAGUUUGGAAGAAGGGGCCCUGCCCAUGUGGCCAGGAGAAGGGUUGCCAGAGGGAAGGCGGAUAAAUCCAUGGGGCCGGACAAAGCCUGACUGACCCCACCUCCAGCAGAGCAGAGUCUGAGCUCAAUAAGGGAAGUCAGCACAAGCCAGGGAAAGCCAGGAGGAUCCCUGCAAGCACCCCCCUUGAAGAGCUGGCGAGGUUGCUGCAGGAAGCUGCAGGGAGCCCCUGGAGACUGGUUUCCCCUUUGGGCUCCUUGCUGGGGUCCAUACCACUGGCUCCCUCCAUCACCUCUUUCUCUGCUCUCUAGGAGAGAGGGACAAUGGCACCCUCCCUGAAGCCUGCCGAGCUGCGAGGCUGUGCUGGGGUGUGGUGGGAGCACAGGGAUCUGUGCAAGGAUCUCAGCUCCGUGUUUGCUCUUCAGCUGCGUGGCCAAGUGAUGCCCACCUCCAUGCCCUUGAGCCUCACCUACAGGGUGGCAUGGCGAAGAGGUGUGAAUGAGCUAAGUGUCAAGAACCUAGGUAGGCUCCUGGCGCAGAAGAGGUGUGGGAUCCAUGUGUCCUGC
rnacentral:lncRNA from 1 species